GUUAAGAAUCUUGCGCAAUGGGGGGAACCCUGACGCAGCGACGCCGCGUGGAUGAUGAAGGCCUUCGGGUUGUAAAGUCCGGUAAGCAGGGAAGAAUAAGUGUGGGGUAAUAUUCCACAUGAUGACGGUACCUGCCUAAAGCCCCGGCUAACUACGUGCCAGCAGCCGCGGUAAUACGUAUGGGGCAAGCGUUGUUCGGAAUUAUUGGGCGUAAAGGGCGUCUAGGCGGGGGAUUAAGUUAGAUGUGAAAGCUAUGGGCUCAACCCAUAAAUUGCAUGUAAGACUGGUUCUCUUGAGUCCGGGAGAGGAGAGCGGAAUCCCAGGUGUAGCGGUGAAAUGCGUAGAUAUCGGGAAGAACACCAGUGGCGAAGGCGGCUCUCUGGCCUAGGACUGACGCUGAAGCGCGAAAGCGUGGGGAGCGAACAGGAUUAGAAACCCCAGUAGUCC
rnacentral:rRNA from 1 species